GAUGAACGCUAGCGGCAGGCUUAACACAUGCAAGUCGAGGGGUAACAGAGGUGCUUGCACUUGCUGGCGACCGGCGGACGGGUGAGUAACGCGUAUGGAAUCUACCUUUUACAGGGGGAUAGCCCAGAGAAAAUUUGGAUUAAUACCUCAUAGUAUGCGGUCCCGGCAUCGGGGCCGUAUUAAAGAUUUAUCGGUAAAAGAUGGUCAUGCGUUCUAUUAGCUGGAUGGUAAGGUAACGGCUUACCAUGGCUACGAUAGAUAGGGGCCCUGAGAGGGGGAUCCCCCACACUGGUACUGAGACACGGACCAGACUCCUACGGGAGGCAGCAGUGAGGAAUAUUGGACAAUGGGCGAGAGCCUGAUCCAGCCAUGCCGCGUGCAGGAAGACUGCCCUAUGGGUUGUAAACUGCUUUUGUACAGGAAGAAACACCCCGACGUGUCGGGGCUUGACGGUACUGUAAGAAUAAGGAUCGGCUAACUCCGUGCCAGCAGCCGCGGUAAUACGGAGGAUCCGAGCGUUAUCCGGAAUCAUUGGGUUUAAAGGGUCCGUAGGUGGAUGAUUAAGUCAGGGGUGAAAGUCUGCGGCUCAACCGUAGAAUUGCCCUUGAUACUGGUUAUCUUGAAUCAUUAUGAAGUAGUUAGAAUAUGUGGUGUAGCGGUGAAAUGCAUAGAUAUCACAUAGAAUACCGAUUGCGAAGGCAGAUUACUAAUAAUGCAUUGACACUGAUGGACGAAAGCGUGGGGAGCGAACAGG
rnacentral:rRNA from 1 species